ensembl:snoRNA SNORA71 Small nucleolar RNA SNORA71
ACCUGUAUCGAAAGUGAUCAUGGCAUCUCUGUUGCCAGGUCAUUGAUAGUACAGGAAGAUGAAUUUAAGAGCCUUUCCCGUGUUUGAGGGAAUAUUGGUUCCUUUCAAACCCUGGUGCUCUCAGACA